GGUGGCUCAGUGGUAAAGCGCUUGCUUUGCAUGCAUGAGGCCCUAGGUUUGAUUCCUUAGCACCA
rnacentral:tRNA from 1 species